AAACACUCAAAUUGAAAAGAUUUAAAGAAAAACUGAGAUCUGUGGAUCAGAAACUAAAUGAUUCACCACUGAACUCUAUGGGUGACAGCAAUGUCAUCGCAGUGGAAGUGAGCCUGCAGGGUGCCUGCUGUUCC